CCAGCUCCAAUAGCGUAUAUUUAAGUUGUUGCAGUUAAAAAGCUCGUAGUUGGAUUUCGGGUGGGGUGGUGCGGUCCGCCUUUGGUGUGCACUGCUCCGCUCCACCUUCCUGCCGGGGACGGGCUCCUGGGCUUCACUGUCUGGGACUCGGAGUCGGCGAUGUUACCUUGAGCAAAUUAGAGUGUUCAAAGCAAGCCAAAGCUCUGAAUACAUUAGCAUGGAAUAACACGAUAGGACUCUGGCCUAUCUGUUGGUCUGUGGGACCGGAGUAAUGAUUAAGAGGGACAGUCGGGGGCAUUCGUAUUCCAUUGUCAGAGGUGAAAUUCUUGGAUUUAUGGAAGACGAACAUCUGCGAAAGCAUUUGCCAAGGAUGUUUUCA
rnacentral:rRNA from 1 species